rnacentral:hammerhead_ribozyme from 1 species
AUCCAGCUGACGAGUCGAAACAGAACGAGACGCGCGUCCUGGAU